rnacentral:rRNA from 1 species
GAGUUUGAUCGUGGCUCAGAUUGAACGCUGGCGGCAGGCCUAACACAUGCAAGUCGAGCGGAUGACGGGAGCUUGCUCCUUGAUUCAGCGGCGGACGGGUGUGUAAUGCCUAGGAAUCUGCCUGGUAGUGGGGGACAACGUUUCGAAAGGAACGCUAAUACCGCAUACGUCCUACGGGAGAAAGCAGGGGACCUUCGGGCCUUGCGCUAUCAGAUGAGCCUAGGUCGGAUUAGCUAGUUGGUGGGGUAAUGGCUCACCAAGGCGACGAUCCGUAACUGGUCUGAGAGGAUGAUCAGUCACACUGGAACUGAGACACGGUCCAGACUCCUACGGGAGGCAGCAGUGGGGAAUAUUGGACAAUGGGCGAAAGCCUGAUCCAGCCAUGCCGCGUGUGUGAGAAGGUCUUCGGGAUUGUAAAGCACUUUAAGUUGGGAGGAAGGGCAGUAAGUUAAUACCUUGCUGUUUUGACGUUACCGACAGAAUAAGCACCGGCUAACUCUGUGCCAGCAGCCG